rnacentral:rRNA from 1 species
UACGUAGGGACCGAGCGUUGUCCGGAUCCAUUGGGCGUAAAGAGCUCGUAGGCGGCCACUCAAGUCGAAUGUGAAACCUCGAGGCUUAACCUCGAGCCUGCAUUUGAUACUGGGCGGCUAGAGUCUGGUAGGGGGAUCUGGAAUUCCUGGUGUAGCGGUGGAAUGCGCAGAUAUCAGGAGGAACACCGGUGGCGAAGGCGGGAUCCUGGGCCAGUACUGACGCUGAGGAGCGAAAGCGUGGGGAGCAAACAGG